rnacentral:rRNA from 1 species
GACGUAGGAUGCAAGCGUUGUCCGGAUUCAUUGGGCGUAAAGAGUUCGUAGGCGGUUUGUUAAGUCUGAUGUUAAAUAUUAGGGCCCAACCCUGAAACUGCAUUGGAUACUGGCAGACUGGAGUGCAGUAGAGGCAAGUGGAAUUCCCAGUGUAGCGGUGAAAUGCGUAGAUAUUGGGAAGAACACCGGUGGCGCAGGCGACUUGCUGGGCUGUAACUGACGCUGAGGAACGAAAGCUAGGGGAGCAAAU